rnacentral:misc_RNA from 1 species
UCUCCGUUGGUGAACCAGCGGAGGGAUCAUUACAGGAUCGAAAGACUCCUAUAACCCCUGUGAACUUACUACAAAUACGUUGCUUCGGCGGGUGCCCCGGGUCUCCCGGGGCGUUCAGACCGCCGGCAGCCUUCAAAUUCUGUUUCUUUGCGUUGGCAUCUCGAGUAUACAAAAAUAAGUUAAAACUUUCAACAACGGAUCUCUUGGUUCUG